rnacentral:rRNA from 1 species
GACGAACGCUGGCGGCGUGCUUAACACAUGCAAGUCGAACGGAAAGGCCCUGCUUUUGUGGGGUGCUCGAGUGGCGAACGGGUGAGUAACACGUGAGUAACCUGCCCUUGACUUUGGGAUAACUUUAGGAAACUGGGGCUAAUAUCGGAUAGGAGCUCCUGCUGCAUGGUGGGGGUUGGAAAGUUUCGGCGGUUGGGGAUGGACUCGCGGCUUAUCAGCUUGUUGGUGGGGUAGUUGCUUACCAAGGCUUUGACGGGUAGCCGGCCUGAGAGGGUUACCGGCCACAUUGGGACUGAGGUACGGCCCAGAAGGCUACGGGAGGCAGCAGUGGAGAAUAUUGCACAGUGGGCGGAAGCCUGAUGCAGCAACGCCGCGUGCGGGAUGACGGCCUUCGAGGUGUAAACCGCUUUCGAAUGUGACGAAGCGGGAGUGACGGUAAUGAGUAAGGAAGCACCGGCUAACUACGUG